rnacentral:rRNA from 1 species
UACGGAGGGUGCAAGCGUUAAUCGGAAUUACUGGGCGUAAAGCGUGCGUAGGCGGUUCGUUAAGUCUGUUGUGAAAGCCCCGGGCUCAACCUGGGAAUGGCAAUGGAUACUGGCGAGCUAGAGUGUGUCAGAGGAUGGUGGAAUUCCCGGUGUAGCGGUGAAAUGGCGUAGAGAUCGGGAGGAACAUCAGUGGCGGAAGGCGGCCAUCUGGGACAACACUGACGCUGAGGCACGAAAGCGUGGGGAGCAAACAGG